rnacentral:lncRNA from 1 species
ACAGAGUAUGGAUCGGAUAAGAAAUAGAGACCGAUUGGGUCUAGAAUGUUACAGAUAGAUUUGGGAAUAAUCAGAGUCCGUGUAAUUUAAUUUUAUCUGUUAGUUAGAGUUAAUUUAGAAUUUUCUUUUAUCUAUAAGAGAGUUAGAGUCCAAUAUGGACUUGUAUGUUAGAGAGUCUAAAUAGGAGUUUGUUAUUUCUUUUGAUCUGUUAAGAGUUGUAUGUCGUGUCCAACACAGCCUAGCCUCCACCCGAGGGUAUAAAUAUGUAUGUCCGGAAUCAUUGUAAAUCAUCUACAAUCAGAUCAAUCAAAUUUCGGCGCAUCGGC